AGCUUGUUGGUGAGGUAAUGGCUCACCAAGGCGUCGACGGGUAGCCGGCCUGAGAGGGUGACCGGCCACACUGGGACUGAGACACGGCCCAGACUCCUACGGGAGGCAGCGUGGGGAAUAUUGCACAAUGGGCGCAAGCCUGAUGCAGCAACGCCGCGUGAGGGACGACGGCCUUCGGGUUGUAAACCUCUUUUAGCAAGGAGAAGCGAAAGUGACGGUACUUGCAGAAAAAGCGCCGGCUAACUACGUGCCAGCAGCCGCGGUAAUACGUAGGGCGCAAGCGUUAUCCGGAAUUAUUGGGCGUAAAGAGCCGUAGGCGGUUUGUCGCGUCUGCUGUGAAAACUGGAGGCUCAACCUCCAGCCUGCAGUGGGUACGGGCAGACUAGAGUGCGGUAGGGGAGAUUUGGAAUUCCUGGUGUAGCGGUGGAAUGCGCAGAUAUCAGGAGAACACCGAUGGCGAAGGAACAGAUCUCUGGGCCGUAACUGACGCUGAGGAGCGAAAGGGUGGGGAGCAAACAGGCUUAGAUACCCUGGUAGUCCACCCCGUAAACGUUGGGAACUAGUUGUGGGGUCCAUUCCACGGAUUCCGUGACGCAGCUAACGCGGAUUAAGUUCCCCGCCUGGGGAGUACGGCCGCAAGGCUAAAACUCAAAGGAAUUGACGGGGACCCGCCACAAGCGGCGGAGCAUUUUGCGGAUUAAUUCGAUGCAACGCGAAGAACCUUACCAAGGCUUGACAUAUACGGAACGCUGCAGAAAUGUAGUUCUCUUUGGACACUCGUAAACAGGUGGUGCAUGGUUGUCGUCAGCUCGUGUCGUGAGAUGUUGGGUUAAGUCCCGCAACGGGGAGCGCAACCCUCGUUCUAUGUUGCCAGCACGUAAUGGUGGGAACUCACCCUGGGAUACUGCCGGGGUCAACUGGAGGAAGGUGGGGAUGACGUCAAAUCAUCAUGCCCCUUAUGUCUUGGGCUUCACGCAUGCUACAAUGGCCGGUACAAAGGGCUGCAAUACCGUAAGGUGGAGCGAAUCCCAAAAAGCCGGUCCCAGUUCGGAUUGAGGUCUGCAACUCGACCUCAUGAAGUCGGAGUCGCUAGUAAUCGCAGAUCAGCAACGCUGCGGUGA
rnacentral:rRNA from 1 species